UACAGAGGUCUCAAGCGUUGUUCGGAUUCAUUGGGCGUAAAGGGUGCGUAGGCGGCGCGGUAAGUCGGGCGUGAAAUCUCGGAGCUUAACUCCGAAACUGCAUUCGAUACUGCCGUGCUUGAGGACUGGAGAGGAGACUGGAAUUUACGGUGUAGCAGUGAAAUGCGUAGAUAUCGUAAGGAAGACCCGUGGCGAAGGCGGAUCUCUGGACGGCUAACUGACGCUGAGGCGCGAAGGCCAGGGGAGCAAACGGG
rnacentral:rRNA from 1 species